UGACAGUACUCCUACGGGGAGGCAGCAGUGGGGGAAUAUUGCACAAUGGGCGCAAGCCUGAUGCAGCCAUGCCGCGUGUGUGAAGAAGGCCUUCGGGUUGUAAAGCACUUUCAGUCGUGAGGAAGGUGGUAGUGUUAAUAGCACUAUCAUUUGACGUUAGCGACAGAAGAAGCACCGGCUAACUCCGUGCCAGCAGCCGCGGUAAUACGGAGGGUGCGAGCGUUAAUCGGAAUUACUGGGCGUAAAGCGCAUGCAGGUGGUUUGUUAAGUCAGAUGUGAAAGCCCGGGGCGUCAACCUCGGAAUAGCAUUUGAAACUGGCAGACUAGAGUACUGUAGAGGGGGGUAGGAAUUUCAGGUGUAGCGGUGAAAUGCGUAGAGAUCUGAAGGAAUACCGGUGGCGAAGGCGGCCCCCUGGACAGAUACUGACACUCAGAUGCGAAAGCGUGGGGAGCAAACAGGAUUAGAUACCCUGGUAG
rnacentral:rRNA from 1 species